AGAAACGUGGGACAGAAAAUAGAAAAUUAAAAAAAAGAUUUUAUUAGAUUUUAUAAGCAAGUUGAUGCUUGUUGAAAUUUCUGAUUUCUGAUAAUGGAAUUUAAUUUUUUUAAUCAUAAAUCUCUAAAAUAGUCCAUGGCUCCAUGCGUUGAUCACUGAAUCACUGGUCAGGAUCUAAUCUUUGAAAACAUUUUUAUGUAUUAUUUUCAUGUGUUUAUGGUUCGUAUCAGAGUAAUUUGCGAACGUUUUCCUAAACCCAUCGUCGAAGUUGACCGAAGAAUAAAAGACAUGUCGGAUAGAUAUCGAGAACGUUUGUAUGAUGUUUUGCAGAGUGUUGAGGAUUCAUAUCCUGGCUACGAUCCUCUAUUCAACCCGCACAAUAUUUGUAAACUAAAAGUUCUUGUUCAUAUAUGGAUGACGAUAGACUUGAAAGCGGAAUUCGUGAAAGUGAAGGGUAAGUGUACAACAGGUACAGAGACUGUAGAUGGAGGCGAUCGCACGACUGAUGUUCCGGCAAACUGGCAUGAAAGCGGUGUGAAUGACUUGGAUGCGACGUACAAACAUGCUGGACGUACGUUCGAUUUCACCUUCGCGUAAAAUAAACGAAAGGAUAUCCACGUGAUCACUGUUGUGGAUGAGGCUACCCGUUACUCAGAAAGCGCAAUCAUAAAAGAAGUUCCUGGUGAUUGUGAGGAAGAUCCACAUGAAGACGAAGUCAUCAUCACCGAUAUUAUCAGACAAUUGUACCAACGAAUUGAUGCGUUUAUGGAGGCCGUCCAGUCACCAGACUACAAACCCAAAAUAUACAAGUCUGGCUCAAAGAAGCAAAAGAAGUAGAUAUUUUACGCAUGAAUCGUUUGUUGGACUUGGAAUGAUAUGAUGUGAAAAGAAAGAAGCUUUUUUUUUAAUCGCAGUUUUAUGAUUAAUAAUCUUCCUAAUUUAACGUGAUAUUUUUCUAUUUUAUGUAAUUGAAGCGUUUUGUUGAUUACUGUUUUGUACAAAUAGGUAAUUAAAACUUUGAAAACACAGUAACACAGUUGGUUUU